GCUUUCCCACGGCUCAGUUGGUAGAGCAUUACACGAACAACACAAAUGUUGUGGGUUCAAAUCACAUGGAAAGCA